rnacentral:misc_RNA from 1 species
UCACCGCGCCAAUUCAGUGUCUCGGAGGAGGCCGGGGGAGGUGCGUCUCCGGCCGGGCAGGAAUCGGCCGUCGGGGCCAUUAUGGCUUACACCACUUCUUCUCCGCAUUUGCGGCUGCCGCUGCUGCUGCCGCUGCUGCUGCUGAUGUUCCUGUCGUGAGAGCGGAGAGCUGUGAAAAGUGAGCGCCCGGCCCGGUCGCCCAUGGGUGUGAGAAGUGAGCGCCCGGCCCGGUCGCCCAUGAGUGUGAGAAGUGAGCGCCCGGCCCGGUCGCCCAUGGGGGGCGUCAGCCGGCUGCCAAUAGCACUACUGCUGUUGGUGGUGAUACCACCGCUUCUUUUCCUGACUGUGACUGCGGCGCCGAUAUCCCGUACUGGCCGAGCCUGCGCCCUGAAGUGCUGCGCACUGGAGCCCAACUGCUCGGCCGCUCGCAGCGUCACCUGCCAAUGCCCCAGGAAGAUUAUCUUGAAUGAAGGAUUCGUCCCAAAAACGGUGCAGGAAAUCGUUGUCAAGGACACACCGCAUGUGAUCUUCGAGAAAUCAUUUUUAGUUGACUCCACACAUCCAAUUGCUUUGAAAAUAUCGGUGCAGAACGUCCGGCGUCUUCAACUGCAGGAAAGAAGCCUUCAGCUGCAGAGCAGUCCUGUCGAAUUCGCCGUCGAAGAUGUAGACAAAGUUCAGAUACGUGGGUCAGCCUUCUCUGGCUCCUGGAAUCGCGUCGCCAAACUAACGUUCAGAUCUAUCAAACUUUUGCAGAUCCACGAAAAUGGUUUUAGCUUCACAUCAAGGCCUGGUCCGAAAUUGACCUUAGAGAACAUAAAUGAGCUGGCCCUUAACAGAAACUCCUUUAAAGCCACAAUAAGGCACCUCGUCGUCUAUAAUGUCAGCAGAUUUCGCUGCGAGCAAGAUAGUUUUGGGAAACACAUUGGUCGAAUUGAAAUGGAUGGUGUCAAAAUACAGCGUCUCGGCACUCAGUGCCUGACGAGCGAUGGAGCUUUGAAGGAAUUAGUCUUCAAGAACUGCAGCAUCGAACAACUUCACACUCAAGGCAUUCACGGCACUAUUGGUGAAUUGACCCUGCAAGAUACCGAGGUUCAGGAGACGAAGAAAAAUGGUCUAAAUGUCUCGGUUGAUCACCUACAUGUAGCCGACUCCCGGUUCGGAGAGCUGCCGUCCAGUGCGCUGAACGUAGUUUCACGCGGAACCAUUCAGUGGGAGCGUGUGACAAUUGGAAGGCUCCAGAGUGGCGCGUUUGUCAACAUGAGAGUCGGCGGGGAUCAGAAGAAGUCGAGCGGCAGUUUCGUCUUCCGUGAGCUGACUGUUGAGCAUGCCGAAAAUGGAUCAUUGGCGUUCGGAGACGGGGGCGAUUUCAGCAUGACUGAGUUGAACAUCACUCCUCCUGAGCAGCUCGUCUGCAGACUGAAGCACUGGUUCCGUGCGCUCAUCGGAAAAGAAGAGUCUAGCCCACUCACUGAAAUGGAGGAGUUAGUUGUGCGGCAGCUCAAUGAAAAAGGGCACUGUCCGACACCAAAGCUAGCACGCAUUACAACUACAACUACAACUGGCGCAGCUGAGACCACCACUGAGCGGGCUGGUGUCCGUACCAGUCCUCCAGCCAGGAGUGACGCUGGGUCGGAGGUCAUCGCUGGCCACCCGCGGCCGGAGCCCGCCGACACCGCCGCCCAGCUGGAUGUGUCGCGCCUGACCCUGUUCCUAGUAGUGGGCAUCGCCGCCGUUCUGGCCGUCUCCGCCGGGCUGGCCGUGUGGCUACUGGUGUGCUCCAAAAAGCGUGGUGACCCUCGAAACCGGCGGAUUUAGUGUACCAUCGGGGUCCAAGCAAUUGUGCAUGAACAAAUAUAUUUUAGUUUUAA